UGUGGUCCAGGGAUGCCUGCUAGAGCACCUUGUAGGGAUUACAGGCUCCAGGAAGCAACAAAGGGGAAAGAACUAAGGGUGCACUCGCGGAUUCCUCCGAUUUCCUGGCAGGUCUCAUCCGGAAGUUCUACUUUCAUUUCGCUUCCUUGGCAGUGAUUAUGCAUCACAGACAUACUCAGCUUCAAGAAACGCCAGGAGAGGAAUGAGAACAUGCACUCGCCAAGCCUGGUGUGUGGAGUGAAUGCCAUUCUCUACAUGAAAGCAUAUAGUAUGUGGUACACGUCCAAAAUGUAUUAGAAAUAAUAAUAAAAAUAAAUAAAAAUGUAAAAACCAGAAAAA